rnacentral:rRNA from 1 species
AGUGAACGCUGGCGGUAGGCCUAACACAUGCAAGUCGAACGGCAGCACAGGAGAGCUUGCUCUCUGGGUGGCGAGUGGCGGACGGGUGAGGAAUACAUCGGAAUCUACUCUGUCGUGGGGGAUAACGUAGGGAAACUUACGCUAAUACCGCAUACGACCUACGGGUGAAAGCAGGGGACCUUCGGGCCUUGCGCGAUUGAAUGAGCCGAUGUCGGAUUAGCUAGUUGGCGGGGUAAAGGCCCACCAAGGCGACGAUCCGUAGCUGGUCUGAGAGGAUGAGCAGGCAGACUGGAACUGAGACACGGUCCAGACUCCUACGGGAGGCAGCAGUGGGGAAUAUUGGACAAUGGGCGCAAGCCUGAUACAGCCAUACCGCGUGGGUGAAGAAGGCCUUUGGGUUGUAAGGCCGUUUUGUUGGGAAAGAAAUCCAGCUGGCUAAUACCCGGUUGGGAUGACGGUACCCAAAGAAUAAGCACCGGCUAACUUCGUGCCAGCCGCCGCUGUAA